AUGGCUAGCAGAAAGAAGUGCUUCGAUUCUCCAAUUAACUGUAUUUUUAUGGGUUGAAUCAGAUGCUCAAAAUAAAAGCCAGGUUGUGACAUGCUGGUUGCUUCGCAAGUUUAAUUUGACUACAUAGAGAGUGAAAACCAUUCCAUGGUUAUUGGAGGACUAUUUCCUGUUCGUUAUAGGACCAUCCCAACAAGUGACUCUGAUGAGGAGCCAGAAUCAGCCACAAGUGAGAG
rnacentral:lncRNA from 1 species